CAGAUAUUAAAACUUUAAUUUUUAAAAUUAACAACUAUGCAGUAUUGGUGGAAUGAUAGUGUUUUCUGUAUCUGUGUGUAUUCAAAAUCAUUCAAUAAAAAGGCUCUGUUAGACAUAUAAAGGCAUCAAAUUAUAUGGGGAAAAAAUCUCUUAAAAGUUGUUUAGUGUUUUUUUUGCACUGGCUACAUAAACUGCUGUGACCAGAAGUUUUAAAAGUACUCUAAAAAUAAAGGUUAAAACUGUAGUUUACAGCAUCACAAAAACAUAUUACUAUGUGAAGGCUUCUGUAUUUGACAACUUCAUUCAUAAUUUACACCAAAAGAGGAAAUUCCCUUUACUUCAAAUCAUACUGCUAUCCUUCACUAAAAAG